rnacentral:tRNA from 1 species
GCCUUCGUGGUGUAACGGUAGCACACUCGCCGCCUAUUCAAGAAGUCCGGGUUCGAGUCCUGGUGAGGGCA